rnacentral:rRNA from 1 species
UACGUAGGGUCCGAGCGUUGUCCGGAGUUACUGGGCGUAAAGCGCGCGCAGGCGGUCCGCGAGGUGUCACGUGAAAGCCCCGGGCUCAACUCGGUAGGGUCGUGGCAAACCGGCGGACUUGAGGCCGGUAGAGGUGGGUGGAACUCCUGGUGGAGUGGUGAAAUGCGUAGAGAUCAGGAAGAACACCCGUGGCGAAGGCGGCCCACUGGGCCGGAACUGACGCUGAGGCGCGAAGGCGUGGGGAGCGAACGGG